rnacentral:rRNA from 1 species
AUACGUAGGGAGCGAGCGUUGUCCGGAAUUACUGGGCGUAAAGGGCGCGUAGGCGGGAAUUUAAGUAAGGUGUGAAAACCAUGGGCUCAACCCAUAGACUGCACUUUAAACUGGAUUUCUUGAGGGCAGGAGAGGAAAGUGGAAUUCCUAGUGUAGCGGUGAAAUGCGUAGAUAUUAGGAGGAACACCAGUGGCGAAGGCGACUUUCUGGACUGUACCUGACGCUGAGGCGCGAAAGCGUGGGGAGC